rnacentral:rRNA from 1 species
GACGAACGCUGGCGGCGUGCUUAACACAUGCAAGUCGAACGGUGAAGCGCCUUCCUUUUUGGUGGGUGUGGAUGAGUGGCGAACGGGUGAGUAACACGUGAGUAACCUUCCCCCUUCUUCUGGAUAACCGCAUGAAAGUGUGGCUAAUACGGGAUAUUCUGGGUCUGUCGCAUGAUGGGUCUGGGACAGAUAUUGUUUCGGUGGGGGAUGGUCUGGCGGCCUAUCAGCUUGUUGGUGGUGUGAUGGUCUACGACGGCGGUGACGGGUAGCCGGGCUGAGAGGGUUGACGGUCACAAGGGGACUGAGACACGGCCCAGACUCCUACGGGAGGCAGCAGUGGGGAAUAUUGCACAAUGGGCGAAAGCCUGAUGCAGCGACGCAGCGUGAGGGAUGGAGGCCUUCGGGUUGUGAACCUCUUUCGCCAGUGAAGCAGGCCUGCCUCGUUUGUGGGUGGGUUGACGGUAGCUGGAUAAGAAGCGCCGGCUAACUACGUG